AGUGAAUAGAUACCCCGGUAGUCCUAGCCGUAAACGAUACUCGCUAGGUGUCGGCCACGGUGCGACCGUUGUCGGUGCCGUAGGGAAAGCCGUGAAGCGAGCCACCUGGGAAGUACGGCCGCAAGGCUGAAACUUAAAGGAAUUGGCGGGGGAGCACCACAACGGGUGGAGCUUGCGGUUUAAUUGGACUCAACGCCGGAAAUCUUACCGGGACCGACAGCAACAUGAAGGCCAGGCUGAAGACUUUGCCGGAUUAGCUGAGAGGUGGUGCAUGGCCGUCGUCAGUUCGUACUGUGAAAGCAUCCUGUUAAGUCAGGCAACGAGCGAGACCCACGCCCACAGUUGCCAGCGUACUCUCCGGAGUGACGGGUACACUGUGGGGACCGCCGCUGCUAAAGCGGAGGAAGGAAUGGGCAACGGUAGGUCAGUAUGCCCCGAAUAUCCCGGGCUACACGCGAGCUACAAUGGUUGGUACAAUGGGUAUCUACCCCGAAAGGGGAUGGAAAUCUCCUAAAGCCAAUCUUAGUUCGGAUUGAGGGCUGCAACUCGCCCUC
rnacentral:rRNA from 1 species